rnacentral:lncRNA from 1 species
GACAAAUUCAUACCUUCAUGAUGUGCUUCCCACCUACCCUUGAAGUUUCUUGAUCUGUACAUAAAUUUAUCUCAUUUUUCAAGGUGCUGUUGGUGACUAUUUCCUUGAGCAGUUAAAACAUAUAUUCAUGUCUGACCCAAAUUGACUGUUCUUAUGGGUGUUUAAACAAAUCUUUUUUGAAAUUCCCUGUUUUAAUUAUCGAGGAAAAGAGAUUUCUUCCCAAAAUACACACGGGGUUGGAAUAACCCUGUAUUUGCAAAUGACUGCUUAUGGAAAGAGCACAAUGUCAUUAUACCUAAAUAUGACAGAAUUCUGGGUCUGGGAAAGAAGCAAGGACUAUUUACAAGACAGCAAAACCAAAACACCUUAAGGGAACGCAUUCCGGGAAUUAUCUUCAGAUAUCAUUAACUUAUUUCGGUCAGAAGUUCCUGGGAACUGUAAUCCCAAUGUCAGAAGGUGUCUGAUAAGGGCUUUGGAUGCUGCAGAUAGAGCAGUGCUCUGAAACAAACGUACUCCCACCUAUCCAACACCACCAUUGGCAGCAAUGUAACUCUCCUGCUCAGGGGGUUCUGAGCCGAUUUACUUUUCAACAUUUGAGUUAUAAAAAUGAGUCUGCUAUUGCUUUGUUUCCUCUUCUGAACCAUUCUAUGGAACUUAAGAUAAGUCCCUUUGCCUGUUUUGUUUUAUCAGCUUAGCAGGAAAAAAAAAUGAAGUCUGACCCUACUUUUGAAAGCGAGCUGCACCAAUGCCUUCAUUCCUAUUUCCUGUUAGCUUCAGUCAACAAACCUAUUGCUCUAACUGCUGUGUCG